UACGAAGGGGGCUAGCGUUGCUCGGAAUUACUGGGCGUAAAGCGCACGUAGGCGGCUUCUUAAGUCGGUGGUGAAAUCCUGGAGCUCAACUCCAGAACUGCCUUCGAUACUGGGAAGCUCGAGUCCGGGAGAGGUGAGUGGAACUGCGAGUGUAGAGGUGAAAUUCGUAGAUAUUCGCAAGAACACCAGUGGCGAAGGCGGCUCACUGGCCCGGUACUGACGCUGAGGUGGCGAAAGCGUGGGGAGCGAACAGG
rnacentral:rRNA from 1 species